rnacentral:rRNA from 1 species
AAUGAACGUUGGCGGCGUGGAUUAGGCAUGCAAGUCGCGCGACAAGGAACCUUCGGGUUCUGGAGGAGCGGCAAACGGGGUAGUAAGGCAUCGGAACGUACCCUCUUGUUGGGAAUAGCCGCGGGAAACUGCGGGUAAUGCCCAAUAAUCCCUACGGGGCAAAGGUCCGCCGCAGGAGGAGCGGCCGAUGUGAUACCAGCUAGUUGGUGAGGUAAUGGCUCACCAAGGCUUAGACGUCUAGGGGGUGUGAGAGCAUGGCCCCCACCACUGGGACUGAGAUACUGCCCAGACACCUACGGGUGGCUGCAGUCGAGAAUCUUCGGCAAUGGGCGCAAGCCUGACCGAGCAACGCCGCGUGCGGGAUGAAGGCCCUUGGGUUGUAAACCGCUGUCAGGGGGGAUGAAAGCGCAAGCUUGACAGAGCCCCAGAGGAAGCACGGGCUAAGUUCGUG